rnacentral:ncRNA from 2 species
CGUCGCCUUCCGGGCGCCGAACCGGUUCCCACUUCGCCUGAAUGCGACCAGCGGCUGAGAUUGAGCAUCCCGCUCUGACCCGUCGAACCUGAACCGGUUAGCACCGGCGGAGGGAGGAGCAAUUACAUGGGU